rnacentral:rRNA from 1 species
CAGCCGCCGCGGGAAUACGUAGGGUGCAAGCGUUAAUCGGAAUUACUUGGCGUAAAGCGUGCGCAGGCGGUUAUAUAAGACAGAUGUGAAAUCCCCGGGCUCAACCUGGGAACUGCAUUUGUGACUGUAUAGCUAGAGUACGGCAGAGGGGGAUGGAAUUCCGCGUGUAGCAGUGAAAUGCGUAGAUAUGCGGAGGAACACCGAUGGCGAAGGCAAUCCCCUGGGCCUGUACUGACGCUCAUGCACGAAAGCGUGUGGAGCAAACAGGAUUAGAUACCCCCGUAGUCCCUGUCUCUUAUAC